rnacentral:ncRNA from 2 species
AAUCAAUGAAGAGGUCGCACACUUCAUCAGUACGUGCUGUUAGGUUAUUAAGGACCGGAGCAGGAUUGAAAAGGGGAGUUGUGCCGAAACGACUACCAGCUUAAUCUGGUGGCCGUUGGGCUGGGGUUGAAUAAGCCACAGACUGUCGCAUUAUCAGCGGAGCGCUUCCUUAAAA